rnacentral:rRNA from 1 species
CUUUGCCCUAAACAUUGAUAGUACGCCACACCAACUAUCCGCCCGGGGACUACGAGCACGAGCUUGAAACCCAAAGGACUUGGCGGUGCUUUAGAUCCACCUAGAGGAGCCUGUUCUAGAACCGAUAACCCCCGUUCAACCUCACCUUUCCUUGUCAAUACCGCCUAUAUACCGCCGUCGUCAGCCUACCCUGUGAAGGUCCAACAGUAAGCGAAAUCGGCACAGCCCAAAACGUCAGGUCGAGGUGUAGCGUACGGAAAGGGAAGAAAUGGGCUACAUUCCCUCACGCAGGGAACUACGAAACUUGUACUGAAACGUACAUAUGAAGGAGGAUUUAGCAGUAAGCGGAAAAUAGAGUGUUCCGCUGAAAUAGGCUCUGAAGCGCGCACACACCGCCCGUCAC